rnacentral:piRNA from 1 species
UGAGAGCCAUUCAUCCAGCUUGCCUACUC